UAAACGAAGCCCGAACAGCGCACCCCUGCAGUCGAACAAAAGGCCUAUAGUCGUAAUGGCAAGUGUCAAUCUGACGCGGCGUUCGAUUGCACGCACACAGCGAGAUAAACAAACUGACAGCGAGGAAGUCAUUCGCCCGUUGCUGAUCUCUCGUCCACACGCGGUGCGAAUCAGUUCGCGAGAAAUAAAACGUUUCGCGGGGAAAAACGUGUGAUUAGGCACAAAUCGACUCGCUGAAAACUACCUUUUCGUGACCAUUCGAAGGAUUCACAAAGGUGUACCCAACCUCGUGCAUCUGAGUCGGUAACCGGGAGUCCCCGGGAAACGAGCAAUCGGUCGUCAUUAAGGGACAAGAAGAAUCGGCGGCGGGCAUAAAGCUUCUCAAAGCCGGACGUACCAACGAAUUUGAGAAGAAGGAACUCUCCCCAGUCGCCGCGUGGAGCUAAACCGUCGUAACAAAAGCGGUCAGUUACUGGAGCAGCUCGGAAUCCACGAGAACCGUAAAAAGACCCCUCUGGGGUUUUGUUGUUGAGCCAACUCGAUCGAAAUCCGGUUGACUCACGGACGGUGGUCAUUGUGGACCGACGACACAGUUACGGAAUUCGCUUGGACACACAUCCGCUCCUCGAUUGCCGGAAAGUACCCAUCUACCCGAUCUCCAGACGCGAGCAAAGACAACGGGUGCACGACGCGUGGCCGAUCCGAGAUAUCCCGAAGCACCGCUGGAGAAUCCACUCACAUCAGGAAUCGAAGGUGGAGUGUUGGAGUGAGGGACAACGUUGGAGUUUCGGCAUCGAGACAUCGCGUAGGUGCGAUCGACGCAGAUCGGUUGCUGAUUAUGGGAUCGUGCGGGGAUGCUCACGACGCCAGAGCUGGGGGACGCCCCGUGUAGCUGGUACCGUGAGUAGGAAAUAUGAUUAGCAUGUAAGGACUUGAUUUUGAUAGGAAGAAGAGAGAAAGUAGGGAUGGAAGGAUGAUCAGGCUCCGUUAGGAGAAGAUGGAUCGAAGGAAUAAAGAUUCCAUGUAUGGUUAAAUUG